GGCCUUGUAGUUGAAUAACAACAAUUAGUUGCAGCCUUUUGGGUGGGGAAAUUUCCCCUGAGGUCU
rnacentral:tRNA from 1 species